rnacentral:rRNA from 1 species
GGUUGCGAUCAUACCAGCACUAAUGCACCGGAUCCCAUCAGAACUCCGCAGUUAAGCGUGCUUGGGCGAGAGUAGUACUAGGAUGCAUGACCCCCUGGGAAGUCCUCGUGUUGCAACCCC